GCUGUGAAUAACUAUGGCUCGUCUGAAAUGCCUGAGUGUACCCCGCUUUGCGGCGUAUUCGGUGUGAUACAUCUUCACCGGAGUUGAUCCUUGUGGUCGCGUCUGUAAUGAGUGUGGCUCUAUGCUUCCAACCGUCUAACGUUGUAGACAAUCUCUGACAAUUUGACCUCAAAUCGGGUGGGACUACCCGCUGAACUUAA
rnacentral:misc_RNA from 1 species